rnacentral:lncRNA from 1 species
GGAAGCUAUCUUCGGCGCAUGCGUACAUUAAUUACCUAGUCGGCAGUCCCUUCUAGGUAAUAGUCUGGUCGGCAGUCCCUUCCAGACUACAUCCCGAUCGGCAUUCCCUUCCGGUGUGACAUGAGGUAGUUAGUUGGUAGUCCCUUCUAACUACCUGUGGUUAGUUGGCAGUCCCUUCUAACCACCGCCUCCUAUAUCCGGUCGGCAGUCCCUUCCGAUGCGUCAUCUGGGCG